UGCAUGUAACCGAAGAUUCAAUGUUGGGUGAAAAUUGAAGACGCGAAUUGAAUUUGCCCUAUCGUUUCCAUUCCCUCGUCAGGCUUCUCCUGUGCCCUGAGUUGUAAUUAGAGGACACCUUGAUUAUUCUUCAGUUGUUUUCUUGGAGAACCACAACCUCACAUCAAAAUACGAUUUUCACAGUUAUAUGAUCCGUUAUAUGGAAUAACCGAAUAAGAGUUUCAAAGAAUAGUUGGAGUAAGGUGGGAAUGAUGGAAGUGGAUCUGGUGAUUGGAUUUAUGAUGGUGCUGGUGAUCAAGAUCAGCAAUUGCAUGUUUUUACGGACCUGUAUGUUAUGCUCACCAACUGUUCGAAGAAUGUCCUCACACAAGAUCUUCAGUUGAAAUUAUCAUACAGAAUUUUGUGA
rnacentral:lncRNA from 1 species